GCCUCUGAUUGUGACAGACAUAUUCAUAUGAUCAAACUAACAAGGAAUUAAACACACACAUGAACUAUAAUAGUGAUAUGGAACAUCUAGAGAAAGAGAGGGACAGUGCAACAAGAUAUGCAUUGUAUGCAUCACAGAAGUUGCAGUUUCUGAAAAAAAUACUUCACAAGUACUUGAAGAGAGAGACAAAAAUAUUACACUUCCUAAGAUAUCACAUCAUAAAGAAGCAUCAGCUGCUGAU